UGCUUGUUCUUGAAAAGGAAUGAUGGUGACCCAAACCCUCACCAGAGUAGCAAUUGGAGGGCAAGUCUGGUGCCAGCAGCCGCGGUAAUUCCAGCUCCAAUAGCGUAUAUUAAACUUGUUGCAGUUAAAAAGCUCGUAGUUGAACUUUAGCGUGUUCGAGUUUGCCAUUCGUUUGGCCUUUUCGAGUUCGCUUUUGGGUUUUCCCUUUUUACUUUGAGAAAAUUAGAGUGUUUCAAGCAGACUUUUGUCUUGAAUACUUCAGCAUGGAAUAAUAGAGUAGGACUUUGGUUCUAUUUUGUUGGUUAUUGAACCUUAGUAAUGGUUAAUAGGAACGGUUGGGGGCAUUCGUAUUUAACUGUCAGAGGUGAAAUUCUUAGAUUUGUUAAAGACGAACUACUGCGAAAGCAUUUGCCAAGGACGUUUCCAUUAAUCAAGAACGAAAGUUAGGGGAUUGAUGACGAUCAGAGACCGUAGUAAUAGAAACCAAAAUCCAGGAGAGAAACCAAGGUCUUUGCCUUCUCCGAACCGCUC
rnacentral:rRNA from 1 species